ACCUGGUUGAUCCUGCCAGUAGUCAUAUGCUUGUUUCAAGACUAAGCCAUGCAAGUCUCAGAAUAAAUGGAUCAUAGUGAGUCUGCAGACAGCUCAUUAAAUCAGACAAUUGGAUAACUUUGGUAACCCCAAAGCUAAUACAUGUCAGCAAGACCCGCACAGAUUCCACCUCGGGGGCUUGCCUCUGGGGCUGUGCUGGGUGCAAUUGACCGGAACAAAAAUCAUCGCUAGCAACAGCAGCGGUUGAUUGGAUGAACUCAGGUCAAUCGAGCAGUAGCGCAUACUUCCGUGGCGCUUGAUCGCAUGAGCAUCUGCCCUAUCAGCUUUUGACGGUAGUGUAGUGGACUACCGUGGCAGUAACGGGUAACGGGGAAUUAGGGUUCGAUUCCGGAGAGGGAGCCUGAGAAACGGCUACCACAACUAAGGUUGGCAGCAGGCGCGCAAAUUGCCCAAUAGCAACACAUCGCUGAGGCAGCGAAGAGAAAUAGCAACUUCAUGCGGCCCUGCCGUGUGAAGAUUGCCAUGGACGAUAUCUAAACCUGUCGGUGAGUAUCAAUUGGUGGACAAGUCUGGUGCCAGCACCCGCGGCAAUUCCAGCACCAAUAGCGUAUAUUAAUGCUGCUGCUGUUAAAAAGCUCGUAGUUGGAUCAAGAGUUGGACAGUGCACGGUGGCCCUGUUUUUCCUUCUGGCUCCGGUCAGGGGGGCGGCAGCGGAACAACCCCGUGCGCCAAACUGUCCACUCUAACAGACCGAAACGGUUCCCUGUGAGUAGGCUCCUUAAUUGGGGCUGAAAGCGCCUACGCAUCAACCAUAUGCAUACGGGACGUCCGUCAAUGUUACUGUGAACAAACCAGCGUGUCCAAAGCAGGCUUUCGCCUGAAUGUUCGAGCAUGGAAUAACAAGGGAUCGAUUCUCUCGGUUCUUUUUGUUGGUUUUUAACCCGGGAAGGAGAAAUUCAGGCCACGGGUGUCUGAGUUAGGUUUCCCUGGCCUUUCGGGUCAGGCCCUUAGUUAGGGGGUGUCCUUUGCGGGAUCAAUAGGGACUGAACGGGGUCGUACCUACUUCGCGUCAGAGGUGAAAUUCUUAGAUCGCGGGAAGAGGAACUUCUGCGAAAGCAUUCGACAAGAAUGUCUUCAUUAAUCAAGAACGAGAGUGUGGGGAUCGAAGAUGAUCAGAUACCGUCGUAGUCCACUACUGUAAACAAUGCCGUCUCAGGAUUGAGAAGUGAACAGAAUGACUUUCACAGCACUAACCCCUGAAACGAGAAAUCAAAGAUUAUGGGUUCAGGGGGGAGUACAUUCGCAAGGCUGAAACUUAA
rnacentral:rRNA from 1 species